UAUCAAUAGGUUCAAGAUGUCGAAAGCAUCUGUAUGGGUAUCGAUUCAAGAAAUUGGCCUAAAUUUGCAUAGGAAUACGCCACAGCAUCAUGCUGAAUGUAGCGGCAGACUUUGGAGGAAUUGACACCAGCACAGCAUCACGUGUUGUUCGUGAUGUAUCAAGGGAAAUAGCGAGAUGCCUAUGACGAAUGAGGAACUAGAGGAAACCCAAACAGACUUCCAGAAUAUUGCCAAUUUUCCUAAUGUUAUUGGUGCUGUGGACUGCACCCAUAUUAGGAUUCAAUCUCCAGGUGGAGAAAAUGCUGAAAACUUUCGCAACAGGAAA